GGAUAACUUACCCUUAGGACUGGGAUAACUCUGGGAAACUGGGGAUAAUACUGGAUAUUUGGCUAUGCCUGGAAUGGUUUGCCUUUGAAAUGUUUUCUUUUUCGCCUAAGGAUAGAUCUGCGGCUGAUUAGGUCGUUGGUGGGGUAAUGGCCCACCAAGCCGAUGAUCGGUACGGGUUGUGAGAGCAAGAGCCCGGAGAUGGAACCUGAGACAAGGUUCCAGACCCUACGGGGUGCAGCAGGCGCGAAACCUCCGCAAUGUACGAAAGUGCGACGGGGGGAUCCCAAGUGUUAUGCUUUUUUGUAUAACUUUUCAUUAGUGUAAAAAGCUUUUAGAAUAAGAGCUGGGCAAGACCGGUGCCAGCCGCCGCGGUAACACCGGCAGCUCGAGUGGUAGCUGUUUUUAUUGGGCCUAAAGCGUUCGUAGCCGGUUUGAUAAGUCUUUGGUGAAAGCUUGUAGCUUAACUAUAAGAAUUGCUGGAGAUACUAUUAGACUUGAAGUCGGGAGAGGUUAGAGGUACUACCGGGGUAGGGGUGAAAUCCUAUAAUCCUGGGAGGACCACCUGUGGCGAAGGCGUCUAACUGGAACGAUCUUGACGGUGAGUAACGAAAGCCAGGGGCGCGAACCGGAUUAGAUACCCGGGUAGUCCUGGCCGUAAACGAUGUAGACUUGGUGUUGGAAUGGCUUUGGGUUGUUCCGGUGCCGAAGGGAAGCUGUUAAGUCUACCGCCUGGGAAG
rnacentral:rRNA from 1 species